CCGCGGUAAUACGUAGGGCGCAAGCGUUAUCCGGAAUUAUUGGGCGUAAAGAGCUCGUAGGCGGUUUGUCGCGUCUGCCGUGAAAGUCCGGGGCUCAACUCCGGAUCUGCGGUGGGUACGGGCAGACUAGAGUGAUGUAGGGGAGACUGGAAUUCCUGGUGUAGCGGUGAAAUGCGCAGAUAUCAGGAGGAACACCGAUGGCGAAGGCAGGUCUCUGGGCAUUAACUGACGCUGAGGAGCGAAAGCAUGGGGAGCGAACAGGAUUAGAUACCCUGGUAGUCCAUGCCGUAAACGUUGGGCACUAGGUGUGGGGGACAUUCCACGUUUUCCGCGCCGUAGCUAACGCAUUAAGUGCCCCGCCUGGGGAGUACGGCCGCAAGGCUAAAACUCAAAGGAAUUGACGGGGGCCCGCACAAGCGGCGGAGCAUGCGGAUUAAUUCGAUGCAACGCGAAGAACCUUACCAAGGCUUGACAUGAACCGGAAACGCCUGGAAACAGGUGCCCCACUUGUGGUCGGUUUACAGGUGGUGCAUGGUUGUCGUCAGCUCGUGUCGUGAGAUGUUGGGUUAAGUCCCGCAACGAGCGCAACCCUCGUUCUAUGUUGCCAGCACGUGAUGGUGGGGACUCAUAGGAGACUGCCGGGGUCAACUCGGAGGAAGGUGGGGACGACGUCAAAUCAUCAUGCCCCUUAUGUCUUGGGCUUCACGCAUGCUACAAUGGCCGGUACAAAGGGUUGCGAUACUGUGAGGUGGAGCUAAUCCCAAAAAGCCGGUCUCAGUUCGGAUUGGGGUCUGCAACUCGACCCCAUGAAGUCGGAGUCGCUAGUAAUCGCAGAUCAGCAACGCUGCGGUGAAUACGUUCCCGGGCCUUGUACACACCGCCCGUCAAGUCACGAAAGUUGGUAACACCCGAAGCCGGUGGCCUAACCCCUUGUGGGGGGGAGCCGUCGAAGGUGGGACUGGCGAUUGGGACUAAGUCGUACAAG
rnacentral:rRNA from 1 species